GGAUGUGAGGGCAAUCUGGCUGCGACACUGUCACCCCAUUGACUACCAGGGUUUAUUCUGCUUGGCUGAUCUAGCUGGCUAGGCGGGUGUCCCCUUCCUCCCUCACCACUCCAUGUGCGUCCCUCCAGAAGCUGUGUGCUUGGUGGAAGAAGACGACCAUCCUUGAUAGACAAGGACCAGUCUUUGGUCAAGGGUAUACGAGUAGCUGUGGUCCCCUGCUGGAACCUCCAAACAACCUCUCAAGAGUAAAGAAAAAGUAUGUAGUUCAGAAAUUCACAUCUACUUAAAGAACAGCAUUAGAGAAGGAAUAAAGGCAAAAUAUAAUCUUUUAUUU
rnacentral:snRNA from 10 species